UACAGCUUCUUCUCCAGUGCACAGGACCCAGUGCUCCAGCCACCGCCGUGCUGCUGCAUCCAGAACAAGCACAGGCUGCUGGAUGAGCGGGCCCUGCCACAGCCAGGAGGGCACAGGGUCCACAUGGGCUGCUGACCUCCAAGGUUCCAGCUAGGACUGAGCAGGGUUCACGGAGCCAGGAGCUGAGCCCCCUGCAUUCCUGUCACCCUAAGGAGAAGCUGAAGUUCUUCCCUGUGUGUGAGCACCAAGCAAGUGCCAGAGGAUGAGGCCAAGGAGGGGUUUGGAGGGCUCCCCAGCAACAUCAGCUCCGUCAGCUCCCAGCUGCUGUUCAACACCUUGAAGAACUUGUAGGGCCCUGGGGGUGCUGAGGGGGCUCAGGGGAGCAGGGCACUAGGUUUGGUGCAAGGCAGAUAUGAGAGCUAUUGAGUCCUGGGCACUCAAGAGCACGCUGCAUCCCAAAGCAUGAGGGAUGGUCAGGCAACUGAGCCUGACUGAACCCCAAUCACCCUGCAGAUAUAAGAAGUAACUCUACCUGGACCCGCUGGUGGGGUGGUCCCAAAGAUCCACGUAAUGCUGGAGAAGGAGGAGAAGCUAUCACCAAGAGAAAGUAGCUGGAGCAGCAGGUGGGGAGUGCUGGAGGCUGGGGCCCUGGGAGCCUCAGCCAUCCUGGGGUGUAGAGGGCUCUGUGGGCCCCAGGGUGACCCUGCAGACCUUGUCCCUGUGGGGCAGCUGUGGCUCACACAUUGCCCCGCAGGUCCCUGAGAACUACUUCUAAGUGCCAGACCUGGGCCAGGUACCUGAGACUGACAUGCUGUCCUACCUGUUUGACCUGCUGGACAUUGCUGAUGACCUCAUGUACAGCACCAACCUGGGCCCGGGCAUUGCCCUUUCUGUCCCUGGUGUCAUCCUGGAGCUUCCUGCCUUCCAGACAGAGGUGGAUGCAACUUUGAAGCCUGUGGAGCUGGUUGCUGGGCAUCAGACUACAUUGAGAGCUCCCUGAUUCAGAUCUACUUCCUUCAUACUCAGCCUCACACCUGUGUUCCAGACCGCCACCACCACAGUCUCCCCUAGAUCCUGCAGAGGUAGCCAGCGCACCCCCAGGCCUGCCCCCACAAAUUGCAUCCAUGACCACCACAGACCCUGAAGGACAUAGCAGCAGUGCCCCUGCUUCAGGGAAAGACCUGGGCCUGAAAAGCUCCAGCCAGCAGAAGGUGUGACAGGAAGACCUUGUGGAGACACCGAGAGGGCAAGAGUGCAUCCUUGUACUGCUGAUAUGGUACAUCAGCAUCCACACAGAGGUCUCAGUGUGGAGCUUUGUGUCCCAGCCUGAGGCGUCACCCCACUCUCCAUCCCCAGGCCCCCAAGCCUCUGGAACCCAGCAGGACUCAUGAGGUGCUGAUCUGAGUAGGUCCCCAACUUCUGCUGCAGCUCAGGAGACUGGAUGUUGGGGUAGGGCAUGCCCGUCAUUACCAGGCACCUGGGGGACAUGGAGGUGAUGCCUGUAGCUCCGCCUAUGCUCUGUCCACCAGAUCCAGCCUGGGACAAUGAAUGGAGUCUCUAGGGCCUCAGCCUGGCUUCCUGCUCCACAGUCAGCCUGCCCCUCCCUGACACCCUCUCAACACCCUGAGCACCUCGCCUGCAUACAGACCCUGAGUAUGAGACCGAGAAAGGUGCCGAGACCCAGCGGAGAAGAGGGGUGCACCUACCGGCCCAGGACAUCAGAGAAGUUGAUCCCUUCACUCAUCUUCCCUCCCACCACACACUUGGCUUCUUGCCUGUACACAGCUCUGAGGAAAGACUCCAUCUAGAAUGCUGGGCUGGCGCCAGGAAGAUGCCAGGCCCAUAUGGCUCCAUGCCUGGCCUGUGCCCCUCAGCUUAGUUUACCUGGAAUAUGUAGCCAGCUCCACAUGGCUGGUUCUCCUGGGGUCCUAGAAGAGCUGCAGGGAGAGACAGUCUCCCAGGAAAAAGGCAGCACAGGCACUCACAUCAGUUCAAGGCCUUGAGUUAUACUCUGGGGGCAGGCCACACUCACAGUGCCCAGCUUUGGGGGUCCCUCUGGCCAGAUGCAGAGACCCUAGAAGGAAGGAGUGCAGGUGAGGGACUGGGAGGAGUAGCACCAUCCAGGUUCAGGGAUCCCUGGGAUCUGCCACCCCAGAGAGACCUGGGUAAGGAGUUACUCACCUUUUUCCUGACAGCAAGCUGGGCCAGCUGGCUGCUGCUGUCCCAGUGGGCAAGGACCUGGCGCUGGUACUCAUAGGAAGAGAAGAAACCCCAGGGGUUCCUGGUACCAAAAAUAAAAUAAUGAAAGGGCACAGAAUGUGGGCAAAUGCACUAGGCUGUGAGGUUUGACUGCUGGACUCAGCAGAAGGAACGAGAAUCUCACAGAUCAAUGACUGAGACACAGCUGACACCCUUGGGAGAUUUUGGGGUCCCUGCCGGCAGCCAAGGAAAAGACAGGGUCUGGGGCAGGGCCUGCUACCUCUUAGCAUGGCCACAAACUGCUCCAGCAAAUACUGGACCUGCUUGAUGUAUAUCAGUUUCUUGCCCUUUGGACGCUUCCUGAGGAGAAACCCACAGGCCUGGAGUGGGGGCUCCCCUACAGAUCCCUGCUACCUAGCUGGGUCACAAAAUAUCAACACCCCAGGAAGAAGGCAGGUUGGCCCCCAGGAGCCAGAAGUCCUGUCUCAAGCAGGCUGGGCCCUUGGGGUACCUGGUGUGGACACAGGACCAGGAAGGGAGGUUGGCUGUGCAUACCCUCUGCAGGCCGACUGGACCAGGACCAUCCCUCCUGCCACAGGCCUGUGUCCCACCUGGACCACUCCAUGUCCUGCAGCAACUGGGAGUGGGACUGGCAGAAAUGGGGACAGAGCACCGAGCCAGGCUGAGGUCAGACCAGGCUCUGGACAAGCGGUAGAGGGCUGGGUCAGGGUGAACUGACACUGUGCCCAGAAAACACCAGCUUGGGACUCACAGGAACCAUCAUGAGCAUGGGGAAUGAGGACCAGGAAUCCACGAAGCAUGAGUCUGUGGCCCUGGGGCUGAGGAAGCUGAGGGCACAGAAAGCUCUGCUCUGCGUGCAGCUGCUUCCAGACUGGGCAAAGUGAGAGGCUAAAACUCUCAGGUAAGUAAGCUCCCUGCUGUUUUCACUGGAUGGGGAAAGUCGUGGGGUUUCCCAUGGGAGCCAUUACACCUGGACAUAAGGAUCCCAGACCCUGAUCAGCUGGUAUGAAGCCAGUGCUCCCCUCCCCACUGCCAUCCCUGUGCUAUAACCGUGGGCCCUGGCCUCACCAUCUGAGUCCCCAGGCUCCCAGUGUCAGCCAGGACUCUGGCCCACUGAGGGUCAGUGUGGAGGGCAGAGACAGCUGGUGCAGCACACAGGACGUGACAGAUUAUAGAGAGGAACUCCUGGGGCCCCCAAUUAUGCUCCAAUUAAAUCCCACUGAGUAACAUGGAAAAUAACAAGAUCCAGCGACCCAAGACUCCUGUUGUUCUCUGGCUCCUCUCCUCACCUGGACAAUGGCUGCUGUCCAAAUCUACCAAGCACUGUCCCCAGAAGAACUGAGGUCUGGGGCCUCAGAGAAGGGUCCAUGGCCCACAGCCCCAUGCAGUGCAACCUGGGACCAGCUGAUCUCUGUGCCAUGGAUGCCUAUGAUGGAGUCAAUCAGGUUGCGCGCCUCGUCGAUGAUGAUGACCUGGCCCUGCAGCCACAUGCCUGCAGCCUGCCUCAUGGCUGCAUGCAACAGCACUGGGUAGGGCAGCACCACCAGCUAGAGGGCAGGGCAGGCUGCUGUGAUGGUGGCCAGGUCGGUCCUAUGGGAAACCUGCCUGCCUGCCUUGGUCCUGAUGGGAGCUGUGUUGUUUUCUGGCCAGAUAGUCCAUGUGUAGGGAAAUUCGGGAGAGAAUGUAACUGUGUAGACCUGUGGCUGCAGCCUCAGCCCAUCGCAGAAGUACAGACACAGCAGGCUUGCAGUUGACCAACUCAGAAGGGGACCGAGGAUGAGAAGGAACUGGGGAAAGCCUUCCUGUUGACCUCCCUAAGCCUCCAGGCUGCUCUGAGGCACAGAAAUCAACAAUGACCUCCAGUGCUGGGGCUGCUGCCUCCCAGCUGUGCGACUCUGUGACAGCUGUCUAACCUUGGAGCGUCGGUUUCCUCAUCUGCCAUGGGGCUCAAUAAACUCUGCCUCAGCUGAGGGCAGAGGACUGGAGGGCAAUAACCAAAACUAAAGUACUUUGUCAAUUUUA